rnacentral:misc_RNA from 1 species
UUAAUUAAUUAAUUAAAAAUUUUACAAACUUACACAAAAUAGCUAAUAGGUUUCUAUGAUCGAUACGUGACCCCUGAAUAUCAAAAACAUCCUUAAGCUAAUCUCGUAAUACCUAUAGGAUAGAGAUGAUAAGAUCGAUCCAUGAAUUUUCCUUUGAUAACUUAUUAAUCACCAGAUAAAAUACUAAACAUAACAAUAUCUUUUGUUUUCCCUUUAAGUAAAUAAUACUUCCUCAAGACACCUUCUUUUCUAAAACCAACUUUUUCCAACACCCUUUGUGAUCCUGGAUUAUCAACAUCAACCACAGCUUCAAGUCUCUCUAAGUGAGGCCAAUCUACGAAGAUGGCGGACACCGCCAUCUUCACUGCUUUAGUAGCAAUCCCUUUGCCCCAAUACUUUGAAUUAUGCCA